AAGCCGGCUUUAGCUCAGCAGUUAUUUUGACAAUGCUUUAUGCUUUCUAUGGUGAAAAACAACCACUCUGCAUGGUUCGAGAUCUACAGGUGCUCUCUGGCCUUUUA
rnacentral:vault_RNA from 1 species